UACGAAGGGGGCUAGCGUUGCUCGGAAUGACUGGGCGUAAAGGGCGCGUCGGCGGAUGAUACAGUCAGAUGUGAAAUUCCCGGGCUUAACCUGGGGGCUGCAUUUGAUACGUGUUGUCUAGAGUGAGGAAGAGGGUUGUGGAAUUCCCAGUGUAGAGGUGAAAUUCGUAGAUAUUGGGAAGAACACCGGUGGCGAAGGCGGCAACCUGGUCCUUGACUGACGCUGAGGCGCGAAAGCGUGGGGAGCAAACAGG
rnacentral:rRNA from 1 species